rnacentral:rRNA from 1 species
AUGAGGCUCAAGCAUCGCAACAUCAUCCAGUUAGUUGGCUUCUGCUACGAAACACGACAUAAGCCAAUGCUGCACAAUGGAGAAACCAUUUUUGCUGAAGAUAUAUACAAAGCGCUCUGCUUUGAGUAUAUGCAAAAUGGGAACCUUAAAGAGCAUAUUUCUGUGGAAUGUGAUGGACUCGAAUGGCACACGCGCUACAAAAUUAUCAAGGGAACUUGCGAAGGAUUAAAAUACCUCCACGAAGAAUUCAAAGAACCAAUUUACCACUUGGACCUAAAACCUGAAAACAUACUGCUAGAUGAGAAUAUGGUACCGAAACUUGCUGAUUUUGGUUCGUCGAAGCUCUUUGGCAAAGACCUAACCAUGGUUAUCUCACAGAAUCUUUCAGCAACAAUUGGGUAUGUGCCGCCCGAAUACUAUUCUCAUCAGGUCGUCUCGAAGAAGUUUGACAUAUUCAGUUUAGGUGUUGUAAUGAUAAAGAUAAUUGCAGGUCCUAGAGGCAAUUCCUUAAGUGCCGAGAUGGAGUACCAAGACUUUCUUGAUCAAGUACAUGAAAACUGGAGGAAAAGGUUCCAGGAAAAAUGGCAUAAUUCCAAACUACUACAAGCAUAUUGCCAACAAGUGAACAUAUGCAUAAUAAUAGCACUGAGCUGCAUGGAUUAUGAUAGGUUCAAAAGACCCGGUAUACUGGAUAUCAUCAAACAACUGAACAAGACUGAAACUGUAAUCAAAGAGUUGCACCAGGAUCACCGAUGGACAAGGAUAUCAGAUGCAAAUAGAACACCGGCCAUUGAUUCUCAGAAACAAAGUCUUGCACUAGAAGAAGUGCGCUUUCUCGUAAAUAAUCUGACUUUGGAGAAUAACAGAUCGUGUGAACCCUCAGUUUCUGCAAGAAAAAAAUUUCACCCUAACAUUUUGGAUCUUCCAAGUGAUCAAAGGACAUCCUACCGUGGCCGAAAAUCGACAAAAAUUUUGUUCCCUACACAGCUGCCGAACUCUCCCCCUAGUUCAAGAGGCAAACACUGUCCGACGUCACAUGUGCAUUCAAGAGCAUUUGGGCAAUGCCCAGGAUCCCCUACUGCAUGGCAGGAUGAUGCACGGAGCUUAAGCUCACCACACCCACUUCCUCUUCCUCUUCCUCUUCCUCCAGGCUUCCCUUGCACAUCUUCCUGUUCCCUACAUUCGCAGUGGAAGAAGGGGAAGUUAUUAGGCAGUGGUACAUUUGGGCAAGUAUACCUCGGAUUGAACAGGUGCACAGUCUGA